GUGCUUGCUUCGGCAGCACAUAUACUAAAAUUGGAACGAUCCAGAAAAGAUUGGCAUGGCCCCUGUGCAAGGAUGACAUGCAAAGUCGUAAGGCAUUCCAUAUUUUA